rnacentral:ncRNA from 2 species
CUCUUAUCCCGAGUCGGUGGAGGGACAGGCCCGAAGAAACCCGGCAACCAACACUUAUGAUGUAAGCUUUAUUUGUUUACAUUCUAUAUUUGUGAAAAGGUGCUAACCUGCAAGACAUUGUCUUGAUCGAUAAGAG